CUUACUUGUUACAUACAUCUCUCUAAUUGGAGGGAAAACUUUGGAUUGGGAUUCAUUUAAAAAAAUAUAUACUUUUUCACAUUUUCCAUAACUCUAAAACUAUGCAUAGGAUUUUAACAAAAACAUUUUACUAACCAGUACAAUCAGAGCAAAAACAUAUCCAAAAAUGGCUCGAAUUGGACCAGUGGUUCGGGAAUUAAUAAAAAAGCAGGAUGUGACCGACCGCUCGCACAUUUCUCUGCCCAAAGCAGUUCCACAAAUUCAGUCUAUGCGGUCGGUCUAUUUUCCCUUUAUAAUAAGUGCAAAAUACACUAACGGAACCGUUCGUGCCUGCCAUCAAUGGAUGCAGAUUGUUCGGAUGAAUAAACUCACAAAUUAGCGCCUUGUUCGUAUGAUUCUAGUCGAACACACGGAAGGUAGAAAUUCAGCGGUGUUCGUGGAAAAAGGUAGCCGAAAUCAGUUCCACGUGGUCGACGACCAAACACCGCUGAUUUUGUUCGACUAAAGAAAAUGGCAGCUGCCACAUGUUCGCGCAGACGAACACCGAC